AGGCAGCAGUGAGGAAUAUUGCGCAAUGGGGGAAACCCUGACGCAGCGACGCCGCGUGAGUGAGGAAGGUUUUCGGAUCGUAAAGCUCUGUCAGAAGGGAAGAAGUGUUAUAUGUUUAAUACGCAUAUAAUUUGACGGUACCUUCAGAGGAAGCACCGGCUAACUCCGUGCCAGCAGCCGCGGUAAUACGGAGGGUGCAAGCGUUGUUCGGAACUACUGGGCGUAAAGGGCGCGUAGGCGGCUGGAUAAGUCAGAUGUGAAAGUCCAUGGCUCAACUGUGGAAGUGCAUUUGAAACUGUCCGGCUUGAGUAUCGGAGGGGAGUGUGGAAUUCCCGGUGUAGAGGUGAAAUUCGUAGAGAUCGGGAGGAACCCCGGUGGCGAAGGCGACACUCUGGACGAAUACUGACGCUGAGGCGCGAAAGCGUGGGGAGCAAACAGGAUUAGAUACCCUGGUAGUCCACGCCGUAAACGAUGUGAACUAGGGAUAGGGGGUGUUGAUCCCUCCUGUCCCGCAGCUAACGCAUUAAGUUCACCGCCUGGGGAGUACGGUCGCAAGAUUAAAACUCAAAGGAAUUGACGG
rnacentral:rRNA from 1 species